UACGUAGGGUGCAAGCGUUGUCCGGAAUUAUUGGGCGUAAAGAGCUCGUAGGCGGUCUGUCACGUCGGCUGUGAAAACCCGGGGCUCAACCCCGGGCCUGCAGUCGAUACGGGCAGACUAGAGUGCGGUAGGGGAGACUGGAAUUCCUGGUGUAGCGGUGAAAUGCGCAGAUAUCAGGAGGAACACCGGUGGCGAAGGCGGGUCUCUGGGCCGUAACUGACGCUGAGGAGCGAAAGCGUGGGUAGCAAACAGG
rnacentral:rRNA from 1 species